AUGACGUCAAGUCCUCAUGGCCCUUAUAGGUGGGCUACACACGUCAUACAAUGGCUGGUACAAAGGGUUGCCAACCCGCGAGGGGGAGCCAAUCCCAUAAAGCCAGUCGUAGUCCGGAUCGCAGUCUGCAACUCGACUGCGUGAAGUCGGAAUCGCUAGUAAUCGUGGAUCAGCAUGUCGCGGUGAAUACGUUCCCGGGUCUU
rnacentral:rRNA from 1 species